UACAGAGGCCCCAAGCGUUACUGAGAAUCACUGGGUUAAAGGGUGCGUAGGUGGUCCGUUAAGUUCGUUGUGAAAUCCCUGGGCUCAACCCAGGAAAUGCUUCGAAUACUGGCGGACUUGAGGCUAGUAGAGUCACUGGAACUGACGGUGAGCGGUGAAAUGCGUAGAUAUCGUCAGGAACGCGAUGUGAAGACAGGUGACUGGGCUAGUUCUGACACUGAGGCACGAAAGCUGGGGGGAGCAAACAGG
rnacentral:rRNA from 1 species